rnacentral:lncRNA from 1 species
AAGAGUUGUCCAAAAAUGUUGGCCGUGGACAAUAUCCAAAUGGUAUUCUCCGGGUGCAAACAGAAAAAGAGCCAGUCGAUGAAGAAGCAUUAAAAGAAAUGCAAUCGCUACAUACGGUAGUGGCUACACUUAUUGCAACAGUUACCUUCGCUGCAGGGUUCACAUUACCCGGUGGUUACUGGGGUAAAGAAGGCCCAAUUCCCGGCACUCCAAUCCUCAUAAAAAAUGCAGGUUUCCAAGCAUUUGUUGUAUCUGAUGUCAUAGCCAUGGUCCUCUCCGUUUCAGCUAUCUUUAUUUAUUUCCUUACUCCAGCUAAGACCCUUCGGCAAACCAAGUUUCUUUCAGAUAUGCCCCAUAAUUUCAUCAUGGUUUCCUUGUUAGCAAUGGUGGUUGCAUUUAUUACAGGCACAUACGCAGUGUUGGCACCUUCUGCUGGGCUUUCCGUUGCUACUUGUGUCCUUGGCUCGAGCUUCAGUCUCUUUGCCUUUGUCACAAUGUUCAUGCUUGUUCAUGGACAUUACCAAAGAAUUAUGGGCCAUAACUAAAAGUAUUUGUAUAUAUACCCCUUCUUCAUGAUAUAAUUAGAAAAAAUAAAUCUCUAUGUUAGAGAAAUUAGCAUGAUUCUGUGUAUGUAUAUACAUUACUUCAACUGGGAUAGUGGGAUUGUACUCUGAUUGUGUUGAGCUAUUAUCGUCAAGAGAGGAUUACAUACAAAUACAAGGUCAACGGGAAAUUGAAAGUAGCAUAUUAGCAUUCCAACAUUUCUAACUAACAUUUUUACAAAUUGCACCUACAACAGGGUCAUGUAGAGAUGCUUUUCAAGUGCUGAAGAAAAUCAGCAGCUUCACGAAGAAAAUCACCCUUUAAAUUGACCAAAGCAUGAAAUUCCCUUUCAACCUCUACCCACAAUAUCUUUCUCAAUCUUCAAGUUCUUGUCACUCAGGGAUAUCUUCCAAUUGAGCCGUCUCCUAAUAAAACAUCCGAUCGUCAGAAGCAGCUGUUUGUUAAGUAAGGACGUAGAUGGAAACACUCCUCUCCACGUGGUUGCUGCUGUCUGUCGACUUUCACCCCGUGUGGCUGUCCUUCCGUUCCUUCUCAAAGUUGUAGGCGGUAAUGAUGCCGUCAACAAUCAUGGUAUUAGUGUUCAAGAUGUAAAAGGUCAACUGUUUACACCGUUAUUGCUACGUUUUAUUUAUUUAUUGCUACCUGCUCCUCACGGCUACUAAUUGUUUAUGCGGGCGCAGCUAUUCCAAGUAAUGUUAAUCAAUUCAUACUUUCUUUUUAUUUUUCUUAAAUGGGAACAACUUUUUCAUCGCAUUGCACUGCAAUAUCGAACAUUUGUGAGUAAAAAUUAACAAUGUUGUUAUGAGUUUAACCCAAAAAAAAAAAAAAGUUUAAAAAGAGCAUGUUGUAUAUGGUCCUAUAUCACUAAUUCCUAGAGUCACACGCAUAAGCACGUCAUAACAUUAAUAUAGAGGAAAAUGCUAUUUGUACAAAUAUUUUAUACAUAUGUUUCUUUUGUUUUGUGCUUCUCACGAACUGCAUAUGGCAUAUCGGAUCAUACAGUUUUUUUUUUUUUUUUUGGUGGGUCACUUAACUCAUUUUAUAUUUACAAAGUCUAAAUUAGUUUAAUGUGACGAAUUGAUUUCAUCGGUCUUGAAUGUGCUACACACGAUAUAAUAUUAUCAUAAAUUAUUAUGUGUGCUAAAUGAUUACUUACAUUAUCAUCUUAAUUGUUUUAUAGUGAAUGGGGUGAGGUAUUCGUGUGUAUGCCACGUUAUUUGUAUCAAAUGUUAGUGAAGCAUACCACACCCCCUCUCCCUCUCUAUAUAUAUACAUACUGUAUUGUAUAUAACUAAAUCUUAUAAAAUAAAGGUAUCUUUUGUCCUGGCCUUGAAAUUGGUCCUCUUUUUUAAAAAAUUGUUUCAUAAAUUUUCUUAGAUCAAUAUUUAAUUUACCUAAUAUGAUCAACAUAUCGCAGCAAGAAAUCCAAGAGUUGUCCAAAAAUGUUGGCCGUGGACAAUAUCCAAAUGGUAUUCUCCGGGUGCAAACAGAAAAAGAGCCAGUCGAUGAAGAAGCAUUAAAAGAAAUGCAAUCGCUACAUACGGUAGUGGCUACACUUAUUGCAACAGUUACCUUCGCUGCAGGGUUCACAUUACCGGGUGGUUACUGGGGUAAAGAAGGCCCAAUUCCCGGCACUCCAAUCCUCAUAAAAAAUGCAGGUUUCCGAGCAUUUGUUGUAUCUGAUGUCAUAGCCAUGGUCCUCUCCGUUUCAGCUAUCUUUA